GACGAACGCUGGCGGCGUGCUUAACACAUGCAAGUCGAGCGAGCGGCGGACGGGUGAGUAAUGUCUGGGAAACUGCCUGAUGGAGGGGGAUAACUACUGGAAACGGUAGCUAAUACCGCAUACCAUCAGAUGUGCCCAGAUGGGAUUAGCUAGUAGGUGGGGGAAUGGCUCACCUAGGCGACGAUCCCUAGCUGGUCUGAGAGGAUGACAGGACACACUAGAACGGAGACACGGUCCAGACUCCUACGAGAGGCAGCAGAGUCGAAUAGUGAACAAGGGGCACAAGCCUAAAGGAGCCAUGCCGCGUGUGUGAAGAAGGCCUUCGGGUUGUAAAGCACUUUCAGCGAGGAGGCGUUACUCGCAGAAGAAGCACCGGCUAACUCCGUGCCAGCAGCCGCGGUAAUUC
rnacentral:rRNA from 1 species